GAUGAACGCUAGCGGCAGGCUUAAUACAUGCAAGUCGAGGGACAGCACAGGUAGCAAUACUGGGUGGUAACCGGCAAACGGGUGCGAAACACGUACACAACCUUCCUUUAAGUGGGGGAUAGCCCAGAGAAAUUUGGAUUAAUACCCCGUAAUAUAGUUGAAUGGCAUCAUUUGAUUAUUAUAGCUACGGCGCUUAAUGAUGGGUGUGCGGCUGAUUAGAUAGUUGGCGGGGAAACGGCCCACCAAGUCUACGAUCAGUAGCUGAUGUGAGAGCAUGAUCAGCCACACGGGCACUGAGACACGGGCCCGACUCCUACGGGAGGCAGCAGUAAGGAAUAUUGGUCAAUGGACGCAAGUCUGAACCAGCCAUGCCGCGUGAAGGAUUAAGGUCCUCUGGAUUGUAAACUUCUUUUAUUUGGGACGAAAAAGGGCCUUUCUAGGUCAACUGACGGUACCAGAUGAAUAAGCACCGGCUAACUCCGUGCCAGCCGCCGCCGUGAUAC
rnacentral:rRNA from 1 species